rnacentral:rRNA from 1 species
GACGAACGCUGGCGGCGUGCUUAACACAUGCAAGUCGAACGAGAACGGAAUAUAGCUUGCUAUAUUUGUCAGCUAAGUGGCGCACGGAUGAGUAAUGUAUAGAUAACCUGCCCUUAAGAAAGGAAUAACAGUUGGAAACGACUGCUAAUGCCCUAUAUGCCUUUAAUACAUAAGUAUGCAAGGGAAACGCUUUAGUGCUUAAGGAUGGGUCUGUAUGGUAUCAGCUUGUUGGUGAGGUAAUGGCUCACCAAGGCUAUGACGCCUAACUGGUUUGAGAGGAUGAUCAGUCACACUGGAACUGAGACACGGUCCGGACUCCUACGGGAGGCAGCAGUGGGGAAUAUUGCACAAUGGACGAAAGUCUGAUGCAGCAACGCCGCGUGGAGGAUGACACAUUUCGGUGCGUAAACUCCUUUUAUAUAGGAAGAUAAUGGCGGUACUAUAUGAAUAAGCACCGGCUAACUCCGUGCCAGCCGCCGCAGUAACAC